GGGGAGGCCAAGUAACAGGUUUUGUAAGCUGAACCCGAAUCUUCCACUUGUCCGUUUCUUGCUUGGCUCCUUUGAUUCCAAGAAUCUGAUUUAUACUUGAGCCACCAGCAGCUGGUGCCUCUGCUUUAGCUUCUUUUUCAGUCUCUGUUGCUCUAACAACGAGUCUUCUUCGAGAGAGGGAGAAUGAUAUUUGUGAAGAGCGAAGUGGGUUGUUGUAGUUGAAAUUUGAUAGUUUAAUAGAUGGCACAGUGUUGAGGAGAGAAGCCAUUGCAAUGGAAGUUCAGUGAAAGGAGAGCUU
rnacentral:misc_RNA from 1 species